UGGGUUGUGGCUCAGCGGUAGAGCACUCGCCUAGCACAUGCGAUGCCCUGAGUUCAAUCCUCAGCACCACGU
rnacentral:tRNA from 1 species